CUCAUGGUGCUCAAGAAAGCAACUUGUGGUGGCAUUGUCUUCGUGUGAGGCUAAAUCACUACAAGAAAAAAAGCAAUUUACGACACAAAGGCAACGACAGUUCCAUGAAAACCGCCCUCUUCCUUAUAUAACGAUGGUUGCCGCAACGGUUUUGGAAAACCGCCCCUGAUACUCGCGACGGUUUUGGGCCUAAGUGUCGUCCUCUUAAAGCUGUGACGGUUUAUGAACAGUCGUGCCCUAAUUUUUCCAACAGUGAUAAUGACUAUGAAUGUUUAUCAGCUGUCGUCCCCCAAAUUUUUUACAGCGCGCUUAAUUGUAGAAGUGUGAGGAAGAGGGCUGCGACUAUUGAUGAACCGUCGUCCCCCAAAUAUUGUAUUGGCGCUACACUUAACUAGAGAAGGUGCUACACAUAAUUGGAGGAAGAGGUUGUUGAACAAGAAUUGUCCGAGUUAUGUCAUUUGAUUAGAACUACCUCGGUCAUCUUCUAUCUCAGCUUGUACAUUUUGAACUAAAGAGAACCACCAGUUGUUCAAGUCGGUUGUUAAAAUCCUGGGCGAGAUAAGGUUGUUGCUCCAAUUGUAAGGUUUUGGCUUGGAUUUGGAAUUGGUGGCGAUUACCCUCUUUCUGCUACAAUCAUGUCUGAGUAUGCAAACAAAAAGACUCGAGGCGCAUUUACAGUUGCUGUUGCUAUGCAAGGUUUUGGAAUUUUUGCUGUUCCACAAGCGGAUUACGUUUGGAGGAUAGUCUUGAUAUUCAGUGUAAUUCCGGCAGUGUUGACAUACUAUUGGAGGAUGAAAAUGCCUGAAACAGCAAGAUACACUGCUUUGGUUGCAAAGAAUGCUGAACAAGCUGCUGCAAAUAUGUCAAAAGUUAUGCAAGUUGAGAUAGAAACUGAAUUGGAAAAGCUUCAACAAUUGGAUCAAAAUCAAAGACAUGGAGAGAAUAAUUUUGGUUUGUUUACAAAAAGGUUUCUUUGUUGUCAUGGAGUACAUUUGUUUGCAACUUCUACUACUUAGUUCUUGAUGGAUAUUGCUUAUUAUAGUCAGAAUCUUUUUCAGAAAGAUGUUUUCAGUGCAAUUUGAUGGAUACACGAAGCUAAAACCAUGAGUGCCCUUGAAGAAGUUUAUAAAAUUGGUAGAGCACAGACACUUAUUGCCCUUUGCAACUUUGUUCCUGGCUACUAUGAGAAAAUUUUCCGCACUAGCUUUCAUGUUUGCCUGCGUCAAGUGGAAUCCUUAAUAUCAAUAGGAUAUGGUACAAACUGCAUUUAACUUGCUUGUUGAUUCUUCUAGUGUUAGUGUUGUUAAUUCUAAGUAUUUUUUCUUGUUAUAUUUUAUUAAUAAAUUUCAUAGCUACAA